rnacentral:rRNA from 1 species
UGAGCAAUCUGCCCUUCUCUUCGGAAUAAGCGUUGGAAACGACGUCUAAUGCCGAAUACGACCUCCUUUCGCAUGAUCGGAGGUGGAAAGCUCCGGCGGAGAAGGACGAGCUCGCGGCCUAUCAGCUAGUUGGUGUGGGUAACGGCCCACCAAGGCGACGACGGGUAGCCGGCCUGAGAGGGUGACCGGCCACACUGGGACUGAGACACGGCUCAGACUCCGUACGGGGAGCAGCAGGG